UACGUAGGGUGCAAGCGUUAAUCGGAAUUACUGGGCGUAAAGCGUGCGCAGGCGGUUCGGUUAGUCAGAAGUGAAAGCCCCGGGCUCAACCUGGGAAUUGCUUUUGAUACUGCCGAGCUUGAAUCACGGAGAGGGUAGUGGAAUUCCGAGUGUAGAGGUGAAAUUCGUAGAUAUUCGGAAGAACACCAGUGGCGAAGGCGACUACCUGGCCGUCGAUUGACGCUCAUGUGCGAAAGCGCGGGGAGCAACAGG
rnacentral:rRNA from 1 species